rnacentral:lncRNA from 1 species
UUUUAUUAACUUUGCCAACUGUUGACUAUAGUGCAUGACUUCAUCGCAUGCUUUGGUAAUUAUAUAUUCUCUUGUUCAUUUGAGUAUAGUUAUGUGUGCAAGGACCAAGCAUCAUUAACUUUGUAUAAGUUCUUUUGGAUCCAAAAGUCCAUGCUAUUGUGUAAAUUGAUGAUUCAUUAUAUUGGUAAAUUGAAAGCUCGUCUUGUUUAAAGAAUUAAUGUUGCUUCCUUUGUUCAAAUUGUUCUCUCUUUUGAUUUUCUUUCACUGCACUGCAGGUUCUGCUUACAACACCCACAACUCCAACAGAAAGAGUGAAAGCCAUCGUAGAAGCUUCAGAAGGUUUCAUAUAUCUUGUAAGUUGUUCUGUGAAACUGGUUGAAAUCAUUAUGUUGCCCUGUUUAAUGGACAUUUUUGUG